UUUGGAAUGGGAAUGGCUGUUGGGAGCUCUGGCAGGACCAGGUGGACAUGGAAGUGAUGGAGGCGUUCAGGGAACGCUGAUUGUUUUUCCCUGCCUCUGGCAGUCAGGUCAUUA